GGGCAAGAGACGGAUAGCGAAAAAGUACCGCCAGGGAAAGAUUUAAAGGACUUUGAAAAGAGAGUCAAAGAGUACUUGAAAUUGUUGGGAGGGAAGCGGAUGGGGGCCGGCGAUGCGCCCCGAUCGGAUGUGGAACGGUGUUGAGCCUGUAUGGCAAUCGACUCGGGGCGUGGACCAGCGUGGAUUGGGGGGAGGCCAAAGCCCGGGCUUUUGAUGCACUCGUGGAACGUUGCCUCCUUGAUUGUUGUUAGGCAGCGGGCACCUCUGUCGUGCUUCGGCAUCUGCGCGCUCCGGACACUGUCCUGUGGGCUCUCCAUUCGAUCUGUCUUGAAACACAGACCAAAGAGUCUGACAUGUGUGCGAGUCAACGGGCGAGUAAAACCGUAAAGCGUAAGGAAGCUGAUUGGUAGGAUCCUCGUGAGGGGUGCACCGCCGACCGACCUUGAUCUUCUAUGAAGGGUUCGAGUGUGAGCAUACAUGUCGGGACCCAAAAGAUGGUGAACUAUGCGUGAGCAAGGCGUAGCCAGAGGAAACUCUGGUGGAGGCCCGCAGUGAUAAUGACGUGCAAAUCGUUCAUAUGACUUGGGUAUAGGGGCCAAAGACUAAUCGAACCGUCUAGUAGCUGGUUCCCUCCAAAGUUUCCCUCAGGAUAGCUGGAGCUUAAAGGAGUGUGUAAAAACUCACCUGCCAAAUCAACUAGCCCUUAAACUGGAUGGCGCUUAAGCGCGGGACUUACACCCGGCCGUCAGGGCAAGUGCCAGGCCUCGAUGAGUAGGAGGGCGCGGCGGUCGCUGCAAAACCUUGGGCGUGAGCCUGGGCGGAGCGGCCGUCGGUGCAGAUCUUGGUGGUAGUAGCAAACCCGUCCGUCGGGGCUAGUGCGAUGCCCCGAAAAGUAGGAGGGCGUGGCGGUCGCUACAAAACCUUGGGCGUGAGCCUGGGUGGAGCAGCCGUCGGUGCAGAUCUUGGUGGUAGUAGCAAAUAUUCAAAUGAGAACUUGCACAUGGGUUACUCGAUCCUAAGGGUCGGGGGAACCCCGACAGAUAGCGCGUUUCGUGCGUUCUCCGAAAGGGAAUCGGGUUAAAAUUCCUGAAUCGGGACGUGGAGGUUGACGGCAACGUUAGGAAGUCAAGAGACGUCAGCGGGGGCCUCGGUAAGAGUUAUCUUUUCUGCUCAACAGCCUGCCCACCUUGGAAACGACUUAGUCGAAGGUAGGGUCCAGCGGCUGGAAGAGCACAGCACGUCGCGUGUUGUCCGAUGUGCCCCCGACGGCCCUUGAAAAUCCGGAGGACCGAGUGCCAGACUGCGUUGCUCAAAUUUUGAGUGACUUUGCUGAUGUGAUGCCACCAGAGUUGCCUAAAAAUCUGCCACCACGGAGGGCUAUUGAUCACUAGAUAGAGUUGAUGCAGGGUUUGAUGCUUCAUGCUCAAUUUCAUAGGGCGUUGAACAAGGUGACGGGUGAAAAAUAACAGUCCUGUUCCAUUGGUGAAAGAAUUGAUGGGCAGAUUGAGCAAGACAUGCUGGUUCAGGAAGCUUGAUAUACGGUCUGGUUAUUGGCAGGUACGGAUAGCUGAAGGUGAUGAGUCUAAAACUACUUGUGUUACGAGGUAUGGCUCAUAUGAAUUCCUGCUUAUGCAGUUCGGAUUGAUAGAUGCCCCUGCUACAUUUUGCAACCUCUUUAAUGAUGGGUUGUAUGAGUAUAUAGAUGACUUUGUCGUUGUCUACUUAGACGACAUUGUUAUCUAUAGUCGGAAUUUGGAUGAACAUAUGUCACACUUGAUAAAAGUGUUGUCUCGGUUGAGGGAGUACAAGCGGUAUGAGAAGUGUGAAUUUUCUUGAUAGGAGAUCUAAUUUCAUGGACACUUGGUGAGCCAGAAUCAGGUGUGGAUAGACCCGAAGAAUGUACAGGUCAUUGCAGAGUGACAGAAGCCGAAAGUUGAGAAAGAAUUGAGAUCUUUCCCCGGGUUGGCUAAUUAUUAUCAAAAAUUCAUUGUUGGUUACUCAAAGAAAGUUGUUUCUUUGACGGAUGUGUUGAAUAAGAACAUUAAAGGGAAUUGGUCGUGAAAAUGCUGGCUUGCAUUUGGUGUGUCGAAAUAAGCCAUUGCCUCAGAACCAAUCUUGUGGCUUGCUGAUUUUGAGUUACUGUUUGAAGUGCAUACAGAUUCAUCUAACAAGCCUGUUUGAGGGAUGCUGGUUCAAGAAGGUCAUCCUGUGGCCUUUGAAAUAAGAAAGUUGAAUGAAGCAGAACAAAGGUAUUCGGCUCAUGAGGAGAAAGACUUUGUUGCUGUUUAUUCCCUUACGAGACAUGAGUUAGAUAUUGUUGAUAAAAUCAAGUCAGAUGCCAUGAAUGAUCCAUUGUACAUAAAGACAAUGAAUCAUGCGAAGGAAGGUACUGUGCGACAGUACUGGAUAAAAGGCAACAAGGUAUUACUGGAUAGAACCUUGGUUGCGAGAUAUAGUGGUCCGCUCAAAGAGCAAAUCGAGGACUACUUGAGAUUAACUUCGACGAGGGCGUCGAGUUCAAUUGGUGGGGGUGGUUUGUUGCCAGCCCAAAUAUUGACUUGAUGCAUGUCGGGCCGAAUUCAUGUCAAGUGCUUGUGCAUUGCCCCUUGACAUGGCUUCGUUGAAGCAUUUUCAAGCAAUGUACAAGGCUGGACAUAUGUCUAAGUUGGUGAUGGACUUUGGCAAGGCAGCUGGAGUGUUGGCAAGACGGCCUUGGUUCGUUGGCAUCGACAAUGGCAAACGGAAGCAUAGCACUUGACAAAGGCAUGCGCGGAUCUGUGGGACGACUUGAUUCAUAGCAGGGCGUGGCUAUGGGAUAAAGGGCGAGGCAAGGUCCAAGGCAAAGCCGGGCGGGAGGAUGCGCGAAUCGGUGGGAUGACUUAAUUUAUAGCAGGGCGUGGCUAUGAAAUUAAGGCCGAGGAAAGGUGCAAGGCAAAGCCGGGUGGAAGCAUGCGCGGAUUGGUGGGACGACUUAAUUCAUAGCAGGUCGUGGCUAUUGAAUUAAGGGCGAGGAAAGGUCCAAGGCAAAGCUGGGCGGGAGACAAAGAAAACGUGGGCAAGGCUAGAGGCCAUUGUGCAUGGCAUGUGACGAAGUGGUGUGAAGGACUUGUGCUGGAAGUUGAAGACACGAUCUAAUAACAUGGGCGGUUGGCUACAAAGUGGAAGACGUGGUAGCAACUGCCCGUAACCGCCUAAAGCAUGUACGUGGCACAUGGUAGAAACUGCCACUUUGUAACUGUCCCUUUGUAACUGUCAUUGGCAGCCCCUUUAUAUAGAUUGUAUCUCCGUCUGUGGAGAAGGAAAGUAGCAUUGCAUAUGUGAGCCAUUACUAAAACGAGUGUCCUUUGUAUAUUUUGCAAGAAUUAAUAAAGGUUUGGUUUUACCCUAAAAUUCUGUGUGUGUUCUUAGUUUGGCUAACGUCUGAAAAUUCUAAAUCAAACUCUGUGUGUGCGAAAAGUGAAGACUGAAGUGUAUGUGAGUGCCGCUGCCGUGCAGUGUCUAAUUUUGCGAAAAAUGGACCCUGUAACACCUACCAUGGUGGUGACGGGUGACGGAGUAUAAGGGUUCGAUUCCAGAGAGGGAUCCUGAGAAACGGCUACCACAUCCAAGGAAGGCAGUAGGCGCAAAAAUUACUCAAUCCUAACACGGGGAGGUAGUGACAAUAAAUAACAAUAGCGGGCUUUAUGAGUAUGGCAAUUUGAAUGAGUACAAUCUAAAUCUCUUAAUGAGGAUCGAUUGGAGGACAAGUCUGGUGCCACCAACCACGGUAAUUCCAGCUCUUAUAGCAUAUAUUUAAGUUGUUGCAGUUAAAAAGCUCGUAGUUGGACUUUGGGAUGGGCCGGCCGGUCCGCCUUAGGUGUGCUUCAGUCGUCUCGUCCCUUCUGCUGGCGAUGCGCUCCUAGCCUUAAUUGGCCGGGUCGUACCUCCGGUGCUGUUACUUUGAAGAAAUUAGAGUGCUCAAAGCAAGCCUACACUCUAUAUACAUUAGCAUGGGAUAACAUUAUAGUAUUUUGGUCCUAUUACGUUGGCCUUUGGGAUCAGAGUAAUGAUUAACAGGGACAGUCCGGGGCAUUCGUAUUUCAUAGUCAGAGGUGUAAUUCUUGAAUUUAUGAAAGACGAACAAUUGCGAAAGCAUUUGCCAAGGACGUUUUCAUUAAUCAAGAACCAAAGUUGGGGGCUCGAAGACGAUCAGAUACCGUCCUAGUCUCAACCAUAAAUGAUGCGGACCAGUGAUUGGCAGAUGUUGCCUUUAGGACCCCGCCGGCACCUUAUGAGAAAUGAAAGUUUUUGGGUUAUGGGGGGAGUAUGGUCGCAAGGCUGAAACAUAAAGGAAUUGACGGAAGGGCACCACCAGGAGUGGAGCCUGCGGCUUAAUUUGACUCAACACGGGGAAACUUACCAGGUCCAGAUAUAGUAAGAAGGGCACCACCAGGAGUGGAGCCUGCGGCUUAAUUUGACUCAACACGGGGAAACUUACCAGGUCCAGACAUAGUAAGGAUUGACAGACUAAGAGUUCUUUCUUAAUUCUCUGGGUGGUGGUGCAUGGCCGUUCUUAGUUUGUUGAGCGAUUUGUCUGGUUAAUUCCGUUAACGAGCAAGACCUCAGCAUGCUAACUAGCUAUGCGGAGGUAUCCUUUCGCGGCCAGCUUCUUAGAGGGACUAUAGCCUUUUAGGCCGCGAAACUUUGAGGCAAUAACAGGUCUGUGAUGCCAUUAAAUGUUCUGGGCUACACGCGCGCUACACUGAUGUAUUCAACGAAUUUAUAGCCUUGGCCGACAGGCACGAGUAAUCUUCAAAUUUUCAUCGUGAUGGGGAUAGAUCAUUGAAAUUUUUGGUCUUCAACAAGGAAUUCCUAGUAAGCGCGAGUCAUCAGCUCGCGUUGACUACGUCCAUGCCCUUUGUACACACCGCCCGUCGCUCAUACCGAUUGAAUGAUCCGUUGAAAUGUUGGAUCGCGGCGACGUGAGCGGUCUGCUGCCCACGACAUCGCUAGAAGUCCAU
rnacentral:lncRNA from 1 species